rnacentral:rRNA from 1 species
UACGGAGGGUGCGAGCGUUGUCCGGAAUCACUGGGCGUAAAGGGCGCGUAGGCGGCCUGGUAAGUAGGGGGUGAAAUCCUGCGGCUUAACCGCAGGGCUGCCUUCUAAACUGUCAGGCUCGAGCACGGUAGAGGCAGAUGGAAUUCCCGGUGUAGCGGUGGAAUGCGUAGAGAUCGGGAGGAACACCAAUUGCGAAGGCAGCUCGCUGGGACGUUACUGACGCUGAGACGCGAAAGCGUGGGGAGCAAACAGG